rnacentral:rRNA from 1 species
CCUACGGGUGGCUGCAGUGAGGAAUAUUGGUCAAUGGACGCAAGUCUGAACCAGCCAUGCCGCGUGCAGGAAGACGGCUCUAUGAGUUGUAAACUGCUUUUGUACGGGGGUAAACGCAGAUACGUGUAUCUGUCUGAAUGUAUCGUACGAAUAAGGAUCGGCUAACUCCGUGCCAGCAGCCGCGGUAAUACGGAGGAUUCAAGCGUUAUCCGGAUUUAUUGGGUUUAAAGGGUGCGUAGGCGGUCGUAUAAGUUAGAGGUGAAAGCCCGAGGCUCAACGUUGGAAUUGCCGUUGAUACUGGGCGGCUAGAGUAUAUUUGCGGUAGGCGGAAUGCGUGGUGUAGCGGUGAAAUGCUUAGAGAUCACGCAGAACCCCGAUUGCGAAGGCAGCUUACCAAGCCACUACUGACGCUGAUGCACGAAAGCGUGGGGAGCAAACAGGAUUAGAUACCCUUGUAGUC